GAUGAACGCUGGCGGCGUGCCUAAUACAUGCAAGUCGAGCGAACGGACGAGAAGCUUGCUUCUCUGAUGUUAGCGGCGGACGGGUGAGUAACACGUGGAUAACCUACCUAUAAGACUGGGAUAACUUCGGGAAACCGGAGCUAAUACCGGAUAAUAUUUUGAACCGCAUGGUUCAAAAGUGAAAGACGGUCUUGCUGUCACUUAUAGAUGGAUCCGCGCUGCAUUAGCUAGUUGGUAAGGUAACGGCUUACCAAGGCAACGAUGCAUAGCCGACCUGAGAGGGUGAUCGGCCACACUAGAAGUGAGACGCGGUCCAGACGCCUACGAGAGGCAGCAGUAGGGAAUCGUCCGCAGUGGGCGAGAGCCUGACGGAGCAACGCCGCGUGAGAGAUGAAGGUCUUCGGAGCGUAAAACUCUGUUAUUAGGGAAGAACAUAUGUGUAAGUAACUGUGCACAGCUUGACGGUACCUAAUCAGAAAGCCACGGCUAACUACGUG
rnacentral:rRNA from 1 species